rnacentral:lncRNA from 1 species
GUGAUGUCAAAGGCCCUUGCCAAGUCUCUGGGACAGUGGCCUGAUUGUUGAAGGAAGGAACUUACUGGAAGAACAGUGAAUGGUGUUUUCAACAAGGGCAUGGAGGUCACACUAAAGAGUCUUCUGUCCUGUUCCUCAUGUUAUCACUGCGUUGCUCUUUCUACUUUCUCACUCAACAACUCAGGACUGACCCACGAACUAAACACCUGGAAGGAAUGAACAUCAGAGAUGAUCUGCCAGCAUGAGGAAACCAAAGCUCUGGAAACGGACAGUUAACCAUCUAGAGAUGAGCAACCAGCAAGUUGUUGCAUUCCGGCCUGUAUCCAGGUUUAGCCAGUGACUCCCUGCUGCUGGCUGGGAAAUCUUGAAGGAAUUGUGUCAUACUACUGUUGUGAAAACAAACACAAAUCAAAAAAAAAAAAAAAAAGGUUGUUAUGGAAUCUAAGGAUAAAUAGCUGGAAUCAUUUAUUUAUUAUAAAAUAACUAGCCCCACAUGCUAACAGUUAUUUUCAAGAUUCUGAAAUUAGGCAAGACUUAGUAAUAUAUCUCCUUCAUUAACAACAUCAA